rnacentral:rRNA from 1 species
ACGUUAGCGGCGGACGGGUGAGUAACACGUGGGUAACCUACCUAUAAGACUGGGAUAACUUCGGGAAACCGGAGCUAAUACCGGAUAAUAUUUCGAACCGCAUGGUUCGAUAGUGAAAGAUGGUUUUGCUAUCACUUAUAGAUGGACCCGCGCCGUAUUAGCUAGUUGGUAAGGUAACGGCUUACCAAGGCGACGAUACGUAGCCGACCUGAGAGGGUGAUCGGCCACACUGGAACUGAGACACGGUCCAGACUCCUACGGGAGGCAGCAGA